CAGCCUCCGACAUGCUCAGUCUAUUCCUCUGAGCAGAAGAUAAAAAUAACUGCAAGCCUCCCACUCACUUUUGGAAGCCAAGCCCUGCUCGUCAUCCCAGCAGGGCGCUGGGUCUCCGCAGGCUGGGUCCUUGGUCACCCAUGGAGCUCAUCAUGAGUCCACUGGAGGAGCAAUGCUCUAGCCCAGAUCCUUCUAACUGUGGAAGGAUCAGCUCACUAGAACUGAGCAGUGUGAGCUGAAGUAGAAGAACAUGGAAGCCAAAGCAUCUGACUGCCACUGAAGUCUAUGGGAUUUAGACACUUCUCUGUCCCAAAAGAUGGAUACAGUUCCAUAUGUUUUUAGAGUGAAGUUUCUCAACCACUUUUUAGGAAAGGCCUUCCUGACACCACCCAGAAAAAAAUCCACAGACCAUGUUGUUGUUUCUUUGAGGAACUGAACAAAGAAAAGCAGUACUUGCAAUAAAAAAAGAACGAGACUAAACCUUGAAUGUUUGCCUGUUACUUCCCGCACCACCACGUACACACACUUAUUUCCUUAUCUGCGUGUGAGUGUAAAUUUGUUGCUUCUUUUUUCCGGAUCAUGGACUGAUGUCCUUUGAACCACAAAAGGUUUGCAGGUCAAAUAAUAUUUCUCUAUGGCAAUUAUUA